AAAAAAUUGAAUUUUGGGGUCAAUUUUAGGCUUUUUUCGCUCCAUAAAAUUGAAUUUUGGGGCCAUUUGUUAGGCUUUUUUUCCCCAAAAAAUUGAAUUUUGAGGCCAUUUUCUAGGCUAUUUUUCCUCAAAAAACCCGAAUUUUGGGGCCGUUUUCAGACUUUUUUCCCUCCAAAAAUAUUGAAUUUUGGGGCCAUUUUUUUGGCUUUUUUUCCACAAAAAAUUCGAAUUUUGGGGCCAUUUUUGCACCUAUUCCCACCGGAAUUUUAAACUCCCCGAUUCCACUGAUUUCACCCCAAAUUGUUUUUCUCCCUCCAUGCUCAGACCCGUGCCCCGCCCCGCUGCUGUGGGCGGAGCCUCCCUCGGGCGUGGUCACCGCCGGUCACCGGCUCCGCCUCACUUGCUCCGCCCCCCCGCGCCGCUUCCGGCGCCGCUUCCGCUUCUUCCGCGACGGUGCCGAGCUGGCCGCUGACGUCAUCGGUGACGUCAUCAGUGACGUCGCCGGUGACGUCGCCAGGGACGGGUCAGAGUUGCUGUUCCCGCGGAUUUCGCCGGAAUUUUCCGGGAAUUUCAGCUGCCGCCUGGAGGAGGAAGUGGGCGGGCCUGGGUGGAGGCCCCGCCAGCCAAGGCGUGGCCGUGGUGGUGGUGGGGGUUUUCCCGCCCCCAGCGGAGUUCGAGUUCCUCCCAUUGGUCAUCGGUGGCGUCGUGGGUGUGGCCUUGCUGCUGCUGGCGAUCCCAUUGGCUGUUUGGCUGUGCCGGAGGAGGAGGGGUCAGUUGGGGGGAGGGGAAAGGUUGGACCCCAAAAUGUCCCCAAAUCUCCAAUUUUAACCCCAAAAUUUUCCUGGUCAGGCCAGAAUUGGAGAAAUUUGCCCAAAAUCACCGAUUUUAUCCCAAAUUUCUCUAAUUUAGAUCCAAAUUUGGCCAUUCUGACCCCAAAUUUCCCUUUUUGGACCCCAAAUUUCCCAUAUUUAUCCAAAUUUCCCCAUUUCAGUAAAAAAAAAGACCGUUUGGAGCCCAAAUUUCCCAUUUGGACCCCAAAUUUCACCAUUUUACUCCAGGAUUGACCCUUUGGACCCCAAAUUUCCCAUUUUGACCCCAAAGUUGUCCCCAAAGUGCCCAUUUGGACCCAAAUCAUCCGCAAAUCUCCCAUUUCAACCCCAAUUCCUCCAUUUGACCCCAAAAAUGUCCUUUUUGACCCCAAAUUCACCCCUUUUAGCCCAAAAUUGACCAUUUUGCCCCAAAACUCUCCAAUUUCCCCCAACUCCCCCAUUUUUAACCAAAAAAUUUCAAUUUUACCCCAAAAUCGGCCAUUUUGACCCCAAACUUACAAUUUUAGCCCCAUUUUGAUCCAAAUCUCCCAAUUUUUAUUUAAAAAAAUUUAAUAUUAUCCCCUCAAAGUUAC
rnacentral:lncRNA from 1 species